rnacentral:rRNA from 1 species
UCUUCUACUUCCACUUCACCAUCACCUCCAUCAGGUGCCGCCUCCAGCCGUGAUACAAGAAACGGCAAGGUUAAGGAGUUCGCUGACGUCUUCCCACAAGACGUGCCACCGGGAUUACCACCUAUUCGAGGGAUUGAGCAUCAAAUUGACUUAAUUCCCGGUGCAUCGCUACCCAACCGUGCACCAUACCGUACCAAUCCAGAGGAGACGAAGGAGAUUAUGCGUCAAGUACAGGAGCUGCUCGACAAAGGUUAUAUACGCGAAUCUCUUAGUCCUUGUGCUGUUCCUAUUAUACUCGUGCCUAAAAAGGAUGGUACGUCGCGUAUGUGUGUUGAUUGUAGAGGCAUUAAUAAUAUUACUAUUCGUUAUCGUCAUCCUAUUCCUAGGCUCGAUGAUAUGCUUGAUGAAUUGAGUGGCUCUACAAUAUUCUCCAAAGUUGAUUUGCGUAGUGGAUACCAUCAAAUUCGUAUGAAAUUGGGAGAUGAAUGGAAAACUGCAUUUAAAACUAAGUUUGGUUUAUAUGAGUGGUUAGUCAUGCCUUUUGGGUUAACUAAUGCACCUAGUACUUUCAUGAGACUAAUGAACGAAGUUUUACGUGCUUUCAUUGGACGAUUUGUGGUGGUCUAUUUUGAUGAUAUACUGAUUUAUAGCAAAUCUUUGGAAGAACAUUUGGAACAUUUACGUGCUGUUUUUAUUGCUUUACGUGAUGCACGUUUGUUUGGUAACCUUGGGAAGUGCACCUUUUGCACCGACCGAGUAUCUUUUCUUGGCUAUGUUGUUACUCCACAGGGAAUUGAAGUUGAUAAAGCCAAGAUUGAAGCUAUUGAGAGUUGGCCGCAGCCCAAAACGGUCACACAAGUGCGGAGUUUUCUUGGACUCGCUGGUUUCUAUAGGCGUUUUGUGAGAGAUUUUAGCACCAUUGCUGCACCUCUCAACGAGCUUACAAAGAAGGAUGUGCCUUUUGUUUGGGGUACCGCACAGGAAGAAGCCUUCACGGUAUUGAAAGAUAAGUUGACACAUGCUCCUUUACUCCAACUUCCUGAUUUUAAUAAGACUUUUGAGCUUGAAUGUGAUGCUAGUGGCAUUGGAUUAGGAGGUGUGUUAUUACAAGAUGGCAAACCUGUUGCAUACUUUUCUGAAAAAUUGAGUGGGCCUAGUCUGAAUUAUUCUACUUAUGAUAAAGAACUAUAUGCUCUUGUUCGGACUUUAGAAACAUGGCAACAUUAUUUAUGGCCCAAAGAAUUUGUUAUACAUUCUGAUCAUGAAUCUUUGAAACAUAUUAAAAGUCAAGCUAAACUGAAUCGUAGACAUGCUAAAUGGGUUGAAUUCAUUGAAACUUUCCCUUAUGUCAUUAGACACAAGAAGGGUAAAGAAAAUGUUAUUGCUGAUGCAUUGUCUCGUCGCUAUACUAUGCUUUCACAACUUGACUUCAAAAUAUUUGGUUUGGAGACCAUCAAAGAUCAAUAUGUGCAUGAUGCUGAUUUUAAAGAUGUAUUGCAGAAUUGUAAAGAAGGAAGAACCUGGAACAAGUUUGUCGUUAAUGAUGGAUUUGUGUUCCGUGCUAACAAGCUAUGCAUUCCAGCUAGCUCUCUUCGUAUUUUGUUGUUGCGGGAGGCGCAUGGAGGAGGAUUAAUGGGACACUUUGGCGUGAAGAAGACGGAGGACGUACUUGCUACACAUUUCUUUUGGCCAAAGAUGAGACGGGAUGUUGAGCGUUUUGUUGCUCGCUGCACUACAUGUCAAAAAGCUAAGUCACGACUCAAUCCUCAUGGUUUAUAUAUGCCUUUGCCUGUACCUAGUGUUCCUUGGGAGGAUAUAUCUAUGGACUUUGUUUUAGGUUUACCUCGAACAAAGAAGGGGAGGGAUAGCAUAUUUGUUGUCGUGGAUAGAUUCUCGAAAAUGGCGCACUUUAUACCAUGUCAUAAAAGCGAUGAUGCUGUUAAUGUUGCUGAUUUGUUCUUUCGUGAAAUUAUUCGCUUGCAUGGUGUGCCAAAUACUAUUGUUUCAGAUCGUGAUACUAAAUUUCUUAGCCACUUUUGGAGAUGUUUAUGGGCUAAGUUGGGGACCAAACUGCUUUUUAGUACUACUUGUCACCCCCAAACUGAUGGACAAACUGAAGUAGUCAAUAGAACAUUGUCUACUAUGCUUAGGGCUGUUUUGAAGAAUAAUAAGAAAAUGUGGGAAGAAUGCUUGCCUCAUAUUGAGUUUGCUUAUAAUCGUUCAUUGCAUUCUACUACUAAGAUGUGCCCUUUUGAAAUUGUGUAUGGUUUCCUACCUCGUGCACCUAUUGAUUUGUUGCCUCUUCCAUCUUCGGAGAAGGUUAAUUUUGAUGCUAAACAACGUGCUGAAUUGAUCUUAAAAAUGCAUGAGUUAACUAAGGAAAACAUUGAACGUAUGAAUGCUAAAUAUAAACUUGCUGGAGAUAAGGGUAGAAAACAUGUUGUGUUUGCACCUGGAGAUCUUGUUUGGUUACAUUUGCGUAAGGAUAGAUUUCCUGAUUUGCGCAAAUCAAAGCUAAUGCCACGUGCUGAUGGUCCUUUUAAGGUGUUAGAGAAAAUAAAUGAUAAUGCAUAUAAACUUGAGCUGCCUGCAGAUUUUGGGGUUAGUCCCACUUUUAAUAUUGCAGAUUUGAAGCCUUAUUUGGGUGAGGAAGAU